GACGAACGCUGGCGGCGUGCUUAACACAUGCAAGUCGAACGGAAAGGCCCUGCUUUUGUGGGGUGCUCGAGUGGCGAACGGGUGAGUAACACGUGAGUAACCUGCCCUUGACUUUGGGAUAACUUCAGGAAACUGGGGCUAAUACCGGAUAGGAGCUCCUGCUGCAUGGUGGGGGUUGGAAAGUUUCGGCGGUUGGGGAUGGACUCGCGGCUUAUCAGCUUGUUGGUGGGGUAGUGGCUUACCAAGGCUUUGACGGGUAGCCGGCCUGAGAGGGUGACCGGCCACAUUGGGACUGGGAUACGGCCCAGACUCCUACGGGAGGAAGCAGUGGGGAAUAUGGCACAAUGGGCGGAGGCCUGAUGCAGCAACGCCGCGUGCGGGAGGACGGCCUUCGGGUUGUAAACCGCUUUCGCCUGUGACGAAGCGUGAGGGACGGUAAUGGGUAAAGAAACACCGGCUAACUACGU
rnacentral:rRNA from 1 species